UAAACACAGUUAAAUGGAGGAGAGAGAAGCACCUCCAUGGACUCCAAAAUGACACUGAUUCUACGUAAGAAUAAAGAGAAAAUGCAGGUACUUCACAUAAUAUAUAUGUGCAUAUACAUAUAUAUGUAUAUUCACAUACUGUGUGUGUGUGUGUGCGCGCGCGUGUAUAAAUUGCUGGCAUAUAUAUGGUGCAUAUAUAUAUAUAUAUAUGUACAUACAUACAUAUAUGUGUACAUAUACCAGCAAUUAAACGAGCAAUUAAUAUUAGUUUUCAAAUGUAUUAUGUGAUUUGGAGGAAUUAUACUACUGACCUUCCCAGAUUUGUUCUGCCUGGGUGAACAUCUAAGGCAGUUUAUGCCCUUAGGCUACACAUCACGUGGCCACCCUGGGACUUAGUCCACAUGGUACUAAAGAACUGAGAAAGAGCACCCAAAUCUGAAAGCAUGCUAACAAGAAUUUAAUUUUAUUUUAACAAACAUUUGUUAGGCUGCCGUUGUUUUGUAAUUGUAUGGCAACAUGUCAGUUUAGAUAGCGAUAGAGAAUACAUAAUGUAGUAGUUCUCAGCCCAAGGAGAUGUCAGCAACACAUGGGAUGUCACCAUCAGUUGUGAGGUAUACCUCACAGCCAGUGUUACCACUGGUCACUCAAUCUGAGGUUUGUGAAUGUCUUACUCCAUUUCCGUUAUUAUAAGACCUGAGACUGUGUGAUUUAUAAAUGAAAGAAGUUUGUUUAGCUCACAGUUCUGAAGGCCAGAAGUCCAAGAUUGGGUGCGUAUACCUCUGGCAAGUGCCUUGUGCUGCAUCAUGACAUAACAGAAAAAUGGAAUGGCAAGUGGGACAAGCAAAAAAUGCAAAGCACAGGAGGCAGCCUCACUUUAUUACAACCUGCUUUUGUGGUAACCAGUCCAGUCUCAUCAGAAUUAACCUGGUCCCUUUCACAAUCUCUCAUGCACAUUUACACGUGCAUAUUCUAAGAGGGAGGAGAAGGAAGAGGGCAUCAGCUAGUAAGCUGUCCUUUCACAUAGCCCUGGGUAUACCUGUGGGAAGGUGUGGCUCACACGAGUCUGACUCAAAGGUUGAGAAUCACCAGGUUAACUUAGGCAUAUUAGAAACAGAGUGGACAGUCCUCCCAGGGUGACCCUGCUGUUUUCCAAAGUCUGUUGUUUGGGAAUUCCUGGGUUGAUGCUCUCAUUUACCUAUCAGGGUCUUCUGGAGAACCUGCUUCUAUGUGUGGGGCUCCUAAAGGACUAUAAAGACAAGAUCCUCUAUGAGUGACAGAAACUGAAGAGCAAAGAAAAGAGGUUUCAAUGAAGUCAAAUCAGAAAAUUUUCCAAGUGCUAUGAUACAUGCCUAAACUAAACAGGAGGCUUGCAGCUUUGAGGCCAGCCUGAACAACUUAGCAAGACCCUGUCCCAAAAUAAAAAGUAAAAAGGACUGGAGGUAAAGAAACUGGUAAAUGAGGAACUUGUCCUUUUUCCUCAUUUAGCAUUCAUUUCACAAGGUCUGUAGGUAACUAAAUCCAUAUUCCAAAAAUAAAACAUACUAGUUAGAUUGUGACAAGUAACCAUGGAUUAAACUAAAUACAAUAUACUGGAUGAAAGCCAUCCAAACUUUAAUCUUUACUUAAUUUGCUUAAAAUUUCUAGUGGAAUAUUUCUCUAACGGGGAUAUGGGCAUAUCAGAUAAACAAUUGAAUAUGUGGGGCAGCUAUCUUGAUGGAUCAAGUUUUUCUCUUUGUGUAAUGUUUCUAGACAACUUAUGAAAUACAGUCCCUCUGCUUCUUGGGGCAAUUCAAGUGUUGCUUCUGCACCUUGACUUGGUGAGAGACUAGGACAAAUGCUUAAUUUACCUCUGUCCUGUAACAAUGUUGACCACUUGGGCAUGGGGGAGAAAACACAAAUACUCGCCACUAAUUCCUAGUAAGGCCAACCUGAGUCCUAAUUGUAACUGUAGAAUUUGCAAAAGAAAGUGAGUUCAACUCUUCUAUCUUGUUUGCACAGAGUAAGAGGCCAGGUUUUACACCAUCAUGCCCCCAAAGAGGAAGCACAGACUCCAGCCAAGAGUCAGCUCCAGGUAUGAAGCCAAACUGGCCUAGGAACAGAUAUCCUGUCACAAAAAGAAGCACCACUGCUAUGGCAGCAUACCCAUCCUUGCACAUAAACACAUACCCGUAGAUGUGCCUUGGCUUUGCCACACAGGCACUUCCUCAGAGUCUUUGGGUCCUAUGCAUUCUGUAAGGGGUUGUGGUAUGUUGUGCUGUGCAUUCAUCACACCAUGAUGACCUUACACUUUGUACUUACUUACACCACAUGCAUGUCCUCAGAUGCAUCGCUUAUGCAUUCAGUUAUUUUUUCCUAAGAUUUUUAUUAUGAUGACAUCUGUGCUCAUGGAACUACCACACAGAUAAACCUCAUUUUUAACUAAUAGAUAUGCUCUCUAAAAUUAGCUAUAAAUCAAUUUUAAUAGAUCAAAUUCUGUUAUAAACAUGUUUGGGGAGUGUGCUAUGUUAAAAUAAGCCUUGUGUCAAAGCUUUCAAGUGAUAAACAAUCAGACUAUAUAUAUAUCAGGUUUGCUCAAAGUGAGUUAUUCCCACAGAAAGAUAACAAUUCAUGUUUUACUCAAAAUUUAAUAUUGCAUAUAUUAUGUUCAACAAGGUUAUGUAAAUUUUUAACUCAAUGAUUAAAGUACUUUCUCUCUAACCACUUGUUUCCUUUGAUUGGUUAACUGCUUAAUCUUAUGUGAACAGAUAUCUUAUUGUAGCAGUUUUUGUGCAAUGGUC
rnacentral:lncRNA from 1 species